rnacentral:rRNA from 1 species
UACGGGGGGGGCAAGCGUUGUUCGGAAUUACUGGGCGUAAAGGGUUCGUAGGUGGCCAACUAAGUCAUACGUGAAAUCCCUCAGCUUAACUGGGGAACUGCGUCUGAUACUGGUUGGCUUGAGUGCAGGAGAGGAACGCGGAAUUCCAGGUGUAGCGGUGAAAUGCGCAGAUAUCAGGAAGAACACCCGUGGCGAAGGCGGCUCUCUGGGACGGUACUGACGCUGAGACGCGAAAGCGUGGGGAGCGAACAGG